ACGGAAGGCAGCAGUGGGGAAUAUUGCACAAUGGGGGAAACCCUGAUGCAGCGACGCCGCGUGAGUGAAGAAGUAUUUCGGUAUGUAAAGCUCUAUCAGCAGGGAAGAAAAUGACGGUACCUGACUAAGAAGCCCCGGCUAACUACGUGCCAGCAGCCGCGGUAAUACGUAGGGGGCAAGCGUUAUCCGGAUUUACUGGGUGUAAAGGGAGCGUAGACGGUUCUGCAAGUCUGAUGUGAAAGGCAGGGGCUCAACUCCUGGACUGCAUUGGAAACUGUAGAACUAGAGUGCCGGAGAGGUAAGCGGAAUUCCUAGUGUAGCGGUGAAACGCGUAGAUAUUAGGAGGAACACCAGUGGCGAAGGCGGCUUACUGGACGGUAACUGACGUUGAGGCUCGAAAGCGUGGGGAGCAAACAGGAUUAGAUACCCUGGUA
rnacentral:rRNA from 1 species